UACAGAGGGUGCGAGCGUUACUCGGAAUUACUGGGCGUAAAGCGUGCGUAGACGGUCAUGUAAGUCGGAUGUGAAAGCCCCGGGCUCAACCUGGGAAUUGCAUUCGAGACUGCAUGGCUUGGGUGCGGAAGAGGGAAGCGGAAUUUCCGGUGUAGCGGUGAAAUGCGUAGAUAUCGGAAGGAACACCAGUGGCGAAAGCGGCUUCCUGGUCCGACACCGACGUUCAGGCACGAAAGCGUGGGGAGCAAACAGG
rnacentral:rRNA from 1 species